rnacentral:rRNA from 1 species
GAUGAACGCUGGCGGCGUGCCUAAUACAUGCAAGUCGAGCGAACGGACGAGAAGCUUGCUUCUCUGAUGUUAGCGGCGGACGGGUGAGUAACACGUGGAUAACCUACCUAUAAGACUGGGAUAACUUCGGGAAACCGGAGCUAAUACCGGAUAAUAUUUUGAACCGCAUGGUUCAAAAGUGAAAGACGGUCUUGCUGUCACUUAUAGAUGGAUCCGCGCUGCAUUAGCUAGUUGGUAAGGUAACGGCUUACCAAGGCAACGAUGCAUAGCCGACCUGAGAGGGUGGUCGGCCACACUGGAACUGAGACACGGUCCAGACUCCUGCGGGAGGCAGCAGUAGGGAAUCUUCCGCAAUGGGCGAGAGCCUGACGGAGCAACGCCGCGUGAGUGAUGAAGGUCUUCGGAUCGUAAAGCUCUGUUAUUAGGGAGGAACAUAUGUGUAAGUAACUGUGCACAUCUUGACGGUACCUAAUCAGAAAGCCACGGCUAACUACGUG